rnacentral:rRNA from 1 species
GACGAACGCUGGCGGCGUGCUUAACACAUGCAAGUCGAACGGAAAGGCCCUGCUUUUGUGGGGUGCUCGAGUGGCGAACGGGUGAGUAACACGUGAGUAACCUGCCCUUGACUUUGGGAUAACUUCAGGAAACUGGGGCUAAUACCGGAUAGGAGCUCCUGCUGCAUGGUGGGGGUUGGAAAGUUUCGGCGGUUGGGGAUGGACUCGCGGCUUAUCAGCUUGUUGGUGGGGGAGUGGCUUACCAAGGCUUUGACGGGUAGCCGGCCUGAGAGGGUGACCGGCCACAUUGGGACUGAGAUACGGCCCAGACUCCUACGGGAGGCAGCAGUGGGGAAUAUUGCACAAUGGGCGGAAGCCUGAUGCAGCAACGCCGCGUGCGGGUUGACGGCCUUCGGGUUGUAAACCGCUUUCGCCUGUGACGAAGCGUGAGUGACGGUAAUGGGUAAAGAAGCACCGGCUAACUACGUG